rnacentral:lncRNA from 1 species
UACAUCUCAUAUUUGUAAAUAAACUCAAAACUGAACUGUUCAACAAGCAUGACCCAAACAGUGGUUAUAUAGAAGCAACAAGAGUCGACUACCAUCUAGUGUACCCAAUGUCAACUGAGCUCGCAUCUGCCCGGGUUACAGGAAUGCAACAUACUUACUACCAGCAAGAAAUCUUCUACCCUGUAAUUCGAAAUUCUACAGAGACAAAAUGAACAGGAAAGUUGGGAAAAACCAUUUCAACUUCAAGUAUAGUGGAAGCAAACUAAAGCAGUCAUGAGAAGGCGAGCGAAUGUAUUGCGAUUGUACUACCCAUUUAGCUAUAACCUAUCGAAACUAAACAUAUCCAAACUCAACCGAACAUUCUCGAACUGAUAGGUUAAUUCUACAAUGAACACAGUCGGAAAGAUUCCAAACUUGUCUCAUGUUCAAAACUAAAACUGGUCAAAAUUAUAAAUUGAAACCUUUGAAUUAAAAGUCUUAAUCCUUAACCAAGUACUUAACCCAAAUGCCAAUAUUGCAAACAAGAUCCAAAUUGCCUUUUUGCAUUUCCAUAAAGGUUUGCCUGAACAUCGACAAGCAAGCAGAUAAUUUCAAAUCUCAUGGUAAAUUCUUAGUUAAUUCAUCGCUAAUUGCCUACUCUCAUAAAGAGUGACACAAGGACUUGCAGGGACAUAUGAAUAAGAGUUGUAGAAGGCUUGAAUCAUAAACAGAUACGAUUUAAGUGACGAUUUCUCUACUCAAAUUGUCGAACACAAUAAAAUCAGAAUAAAAGUACUCCCAUCAAAUACAAAACCAACUCUACAACAUAUAUUCAAGCACAAAUCUAAUAAACACCAACUAUUAAGAUCCUAUGAAUUCACAUCUCGCAUGUAGCUCUACAAUCCAAAUAGGAUAGCAGUAAACAAACUUUACCUGGAUAGCUCACAUAUUGCUUGUCAAAUCAAUAUCUUACUGACUAUAUAGAUUCAAACACGUACCCCUACUGAUAAGAGAUUCACUCAACCGGAGAUUCAAUCAUAGCACAAAUGAAGCAUUCGAGACAGAAACACAUAGUUCAAAACGCUAAAACAAAACAGAAACGCAAGAAUAAAAGAGAUGAAGAUUGAACCUGAAGCUGCAAAUCCCUUUUAUAACAAAUUUAGACUCGACAAUACACUUCUCGACUCCAAAUCCUAGAGAGGUUCAGCAACAAAUCAGCAAGACGACAGUAAAACCCAGUUUGAACUUCAAUUCUAUCUCCUUAGAACUCAAAUCUGGAUUCAGGAAAAAUAAGAAGGAAAAAUUUGUAUCUAUGCUUCUCUUAAACUUUAAUGAACUCGUCAAAGGAAACAACCUCAGAAAAACCAUUCGUUCCCAGAAAACCUUUCAACUUUUUCUUUCUCAGAAUUUUUCAGCCCCCCCCCCCACCCCCACCUCAAUCAGACUUCAAUAUAUAUAUACCCCUCUCUCGAAUUUUCCUUUUUGCACAAGAAAUAUGGAAGGAAACCUCUUCUAGAACGAACCCUGACAUAUGGAAGGAGAGGAUUGAUCCUUAAAUCAAUCCACGGCUCCCAUAUUCGGAGUUCAUUCUUCAGAAAUUCCCAAAUGAAAUCAGCACAUGAGAGAGGAAAAGGACUCUAUCAGAAACGGUUAGACAAUGGCAAGGGGGAAAGGAGGGAACGCGUGGGGAGAGAUUUUGAGGUUCACUCGCCAUGGAUUUGGCGAGUCUUGGGCGAGUGUUGGACUGACUCGGGCGAAGAAGAUGCGUGAACAGUGCUGCUUGUCUCUC